GGGGCUAUAGCUCAGUUGGGAGAGCGCUUGACUGGCAGUCAAGAGGUCAUCGGUUCAACCCCGUUUAGCUCCA
rnacentral:tRNA from 1 species